rnacentral:rRNA from 1 species
UGGGGAAUUUUGGACAAUGGGCGAAAGCCUGAUCCAGCAAUGCCGCGUGUGUGAAGAAGGCCUUCGGGUUGUAAAGCACUUUUGUCCGGAAAGAAAUGGCUCUGGUUAAUACCUGGGGUCGAUGACGGUACCGGAAGAAUAAGGACCGGCUAACUACGUGCCAGCAGCCGCGGUAAUACGUAGGGUCCAAGCGUUAAUCGGAAUUACUGGGCGUAAAGCGUGCGCAGGCGGUUGUGCAAGACCGAUGUGAAAUCCCCGAGCUUAACUUGGGAAUUGCAUUGGUGACUGCACGGCUAGAGUGUGUCAGAGGGGGGUAGAAUUCCACGUGUAGCAGUGAAAUGCGUAGAGAUGUGGAGGAAUACCGAUGGCGAAGGCAGCCCCCUGGGAUAACACUGACGCUCAUGCACGAAAGCGUGGGGAGCAAACAGGAUUAGAUACCCUGGUAGUCCACGCCCUAAACGAUGUCAACUAGUUGUUGGGGACUCAUUUCCUUAGUAACGUAGCUAACGCGUGAAGUUGACCGCCUGGGGAGUACGGUCGCAAGAUUAAAAGCUC